CGGCUCAGUAACACGUGGAUAACCUACCCUUGAGACGGGGAUAAACCCGGGAAACUGGGUAUAAUACCCGAUAGAUCUCGACUGCUGGAAUGCAUCGAGCUUGAAAGCUCCGGCGCUCAAGGAUGGGUCUGCGGCCUAUCAGGUAGUAGUGGGUGUAGCGUACCUACUAGCCUACGACGGGUACGGGUUGUGAGAGCAAGAGCCCGGAGAUGGAUUCUGAGACACGAAUCCAGGCCCUACGGGGUGCAGCAGGCGCGAAAACUUUACAAUGCUGGAAACAGCGAUAAGGGGACCUCGAGUGCCAGGUUACAAAUCUGGCUGUCGUGAUGCCUAAAAAGCAUUGCAUAGCAAGGGCCGGGCAAGACCGGUGCCAGCCGCCGCGGUAACACCGGCGGCUCGAGUGGUAACCGUUAUUAUUGGGUCUAAAGGGUCUGUAGCCGGCCGGAUAAGUCUCUUGGGAAAUCUGGCAGCUUAACUGUCAGGCUUUCAGGAGAUACUGUCUGGCUCGAGGCCGGGAGAGGUGAGAGGUACUUCAGGGGUAGGGGUGAAAUCUUGUAAUCCUUGAAGGACCACCAGUGGCGAAGGCGUCUCACCAGAACGGACCUGACGGCAAGGGACGAAAGCUAGGGGCACGAACCG
rnacentral:rRNA from 1 species